rnacentral:tRNA from 1 species
GGGAAUGAAUGAAGCCUGGUGGCUUCCGCAGUCUUCAAAACUGUUCGCGGGGCGCUAAUCCGUCCUGGGUGGGUUCGAUUCCUACACGUUCCCGCCA